CGCGCAGGUGGUUUCUUAAGUCUGAUGUGAAAGCCCACGGCUCAACCGUGGAGGGUCAUUGGAAACUGGGAGACUUGAGUGCAGAAGAGGAUAGUGGAAUUCCAAGUGUAGCGGUGAAAUGCGUAGAGAUUUGGAGGAACACCAGUGGCGAAGGCGACUGUCUGGUCUGUAACUGACACUGAGGCGCGAAAGCGUGGGAGCAAACA
rnacentral:rRNA from 1 species